rnacentral:rRNA from 1 species
CGCUGGCGGCGUGCCUAACACAUGCAAGUCAACUUGACUGAAGGAGCAGUCUGACAGUAGAGUGGCGCAAGGGUGCGUAACGCGUAAGUAACUUGCCCCAAGGUAAGGAAUAACGUCGAGAAAUCGGCGCUAAUACCUCAUAAUGCAGCGGAUCCGCAUGGAUAUGUUGUUAAAGGUUUACCGCCUUGGGAUAGGCUUGCGUCUGAUUAGCUAGUUGGUGUGGUAACGGCACACCAAGGCUACGAUCAGUAACUGGUCUGAGAGGAUGAUCAGUCACACUGGAACUGAGACACGGUCCAGACUCCUACGGGAGGCAGCAGUGAGGAAUAUUGGGCAAUGCUCGAAAGAGUGACCCAGCAACGCCGCGUGGAGGAUGAAGGUAUUCUAUAUCGUAAACUCCUGUGAGAGCAGACGAAAGACAGAUUAUUAAUCUGGAUGACUGUAUGCUCAGAGGAAGCCCCGGCUAACUACGUG